UGUAUGAAAACAACAGUGGGAACUUGCAUGCCUGUACAUGUCUGUGAUAAAGUCGUCUUUUGUAUAAAUUGUAGUCCUGUCGGUCAGCAAACAUGUCGGACAUUUUGGUGAGAAUAAAAAACAGCAUCGCGGAGAAAAAGAAGGCGGAUGUUGCUCAAAGUGACCUGAAGAAAUGGGGAUUGAGAGGGAUACAGCUGAGACCCUACCAGCUGGACGGGGUGCACUGGUUAACUCAGUGCCUGAAGAACCAGCAGGGUUGCAUCUUAGGAGACGAGAUGGGUUUGGGUAAAACCUGCCAGACGAUCUCUCUGCUGGUGUACAUGUCAGGGGCUCUCAGGAAGAAAGGACCAUUUCUGGUGCUGAGCCCACUCUCUGUCCUGGAGAACUGGAGGAAUGAGUUGGAAAGCUUCGCUCCCUCACUGACGGUCCUGGUUUACAAAGGAGACAAAGAAAGGCGGGCAGAGAUCCAGCAGGAGGCGAACUCUCAGGACUUCCAUGUUCUUCUCACUACAUAUGAGCUGUGUCUCAAAGAUGCUUCAUUCUUGAAACGGUGGAAGUGGAAGGUGCUUGUGGUUGAUGAAGCUCACAGGUUGAAGAAUCAAAACUCGCUGUUGCACAAAACUUUGACAGAGUUCUUCAUGGGAUUCAGAGUCUUGCUGACAGGGACUCCCAUUCAGAACAACCUGCAGGAGCUCUACUCCCUGCUGAGCUUCAUCCAGCCCAGCAUCUUUAUACCAGAAGAUACAGACAGCUUUGUCAACUCUUACUCUGAUGUACAAAGUCAGCCUGCCUUGGCUGCUGAGCUCCAAAGCAUCCUGGAGCCCUUCCUGCUCCGUAGAGUCAAGUCUCAGGUGGCCGUCGAUCUGCCCAAGAAAACCGAGCUCGUGGUUUAUCACGGCAUGUCCGCUCUGCAGAAGAAAUACUACAAAGCUGUUCUGAUGAAGGAUCUGGAGGCUUUUGGAAAUGACCAAGGCAGCAAGACUCGGCUGCUGAACAUCUUGAUGAACCUGAGGAAGUGCGUUGACCACCCUUAUCUGUUUGAUGGAGUUGAGCCAGAGCCAUUUGAGAUGGGGGAACAUCUCAUCGAAGCCAGUGGAAAACUUUGUCUUCUGGACAGCAUGCUGACAUUCCUCCACAAAGGGGGCCAUCGGAUCCUGCUGUUCUCUCAGAUGACGAGAAUGCUCGAUAUUCUCCAGGACUACAUGGAGUACAGAGGUUACAGCUACGAACGUCUGGAUGGGUCAGUCCGAGGGGAGGAACGAAACCUAGCGGUGAAAAACUUCAGCAGCAAAGAUGUCUUUGUCUUUCUGCUCAGCACUAAAGCCGGGGGAGUAGGGAUGAACCUGACAGCUGCUGACACUGUCAUUUUUGUGGAUAGUGACUUCAACCCUCAAAAUGACUUGCAGGCUGCCGCACGCAGCCACCGGAUUGGUCAGAACAGGCCUGUGAAAGUGAUUCGCCUCCUGGCACGAGACACUGUGGAGGAGAUCAUGUACUCUCGCGCUGUGUCCAAGUUGCAGCUCACCAACACUGUUAUUGAAGAAGGCCGCUUCUCUUUACUGGAUCAAGCUCAGUCAGCUGCAGGAGGGCUGCAGCUAAGCGAGAUCUUGAAGUUUGGCAUUGAUAAGCUUUUGUCAUCUGAUGAGAGCUCCAUACAAGAUGUGAAACUGGAGAAGAUCCUUGGCCUGUCACAUAAUGGUCAUUGGGUGGAUGAUGACGACUACUCCCAGCUUGAAGAAAAUGAAGAGGAUGAUGAAGGGAAAGGAUCUGAAGCCGACGGGCAGAACCACCUGUACUUCUUUGAGGGGAAAGACUACAGUAAGGACCCCAGCUCUGAGGACCAGAAGAGCUUUGAUCGUUUGUUGGAGGAGCAGCUGACCGAGUUUCAGAGAGCAGCAGGAGAAGGACGAGCUCUGCGACACAAAACUGGAGUUUCACUGUCGGUAGCCCUUGGGAUUCCAACGAGGAAGAGGAAGCCUGUCACGGAGGCUGAGCUGGAGCAGAGGCGGCAGAGGAGGGAGGAGGCUGCAGCCAAGAGAGCCAAAAUGCAGGAGGAGAUGAAGCAGAAGCAGGAAGAGCAGAAAUACAAGAAAAAAAUGGCCUGGUGGGAGUCCUGCGGGUACAGAUCUCGGUGCCUGCCGUCUGUGGACAGUGAGGAAGAGGAGGAAGAAGAGGAGGAUGGCAGCAGCAUGUGCUCCACAGACUCUGACAGCACAGAUAUCCACUACGUUCUGGGGGAUGUUACUCAUCCUCACACCGCCCAGGGAGACGCCAUCAUCGUCCACUGCGUUGAUGACUCAGGUCGGUGGGGAAGAGGAGGUCUGUUUACAGCACUGGAGGUGAGAUCAGACGAGCCGCGAAAGCAGUAUGAGUUAGCUGGAAAGAUGAAAGAUUUGGAUCUUGGAAGUGUGCUUCUGUUCCCAAUUAAUGACAAACAGUCCAGAUUGAACAGCCAAGAUCAAUUAGCCCUAAUAGUGGCACAGCAACGAGACAAAGCCAACAACUUGUCUGGGAUCUUUCUGAGUGCUCUGGAUGAAGGCCUGAAGAAGAUUUACAAAGCGGCCAAAAGAACCAAGGCAAGUGUUCAUCUUCCACGUAUCGGUCACGCCACCAAAGGUUUCAACUGGUAUGGCACAGAGAGGCUCAUCAGGAAGCACCUUGCUUCCAGAGGCAUCCCCACAUUCAUAUACUAUCAUAGCAGAAAUGUCAAGAACACAGUUAUACCCCAGACAUCCACUUCAGCAUCCUCCCCGGGGCUACAGUUGCAAAAUUCUGAUGGCACCGACUCUGCAACCUCCGGGCCCUCGGCUACACUCCAGAGCCCUGCAGACCUCCCUAGUUUCAUGAACGGGGUCCGUGUGUUUUUCUACAACUUGCCUGCAUCAGAGAGGAAGAGGCUAGCCCGCUAUCUUAUCACUUAUGAUGGAGAUGAGGAGGAGAUCAUGAGUCCGGAUGUCACCCACAUAGUAGCAGAGGUGGAGAACAACAUCCACUCACAGGAGCUCCAGGAUCUGCUGCGUCAGUACAGUCAGGCUGUUCCUGUGCAGAAGGCCUGGCUCGAGUCCUGCUUUUCCAAACAAACAAGAGUCAACACUGCACAGUACCUACAUCAGCUCAGAUAACACACUGUUUUAUUGGUUUGCUGCUAUGCAGACAGUUGGUAUGAGGUGUUUGUACUGAUAUGCUGUGAUUGGUUUUCACCAAAAUGUGGCAAUGUGCAUUUUGGAUGCACAUCACCUCAUGAUGAAAACACCCCACUGCAAAUAAAUAAACAGUUUAUUAAUAAUACAUUUUCAGAUGAUGAUGAUAAGAUGCCAAUUAACAAUCUCGGGAUGACAUCCUGCGGCGGUUGGUGAGGGUCGAGAAGUACAACCCACCUCCUAUCGGGGAGCUUCCGACCAUCGUCUCCAUCCCCAUUUAAAAAAAACUCUGAGCUGAAGAACAUAAAAAAUCUAACUGUGGGACCAGAUUAAUGUUAGAGAAAAUAGUUAAUCUGGUGAUUUAGUGAAGAGAAGUGUAAAUAGUUUAAUUUGAGUGAAUUAUCUCACGGCUGAGUGCUGCUCUUUAUUUGUAAGGUGAAUCGAGCUUUGAAACUUUUGGAUAUUUUUAUUUUUAUUGCACAAAAGGACAAGAGCACGAAGGUAAAGUGCUAAGUGCAUCCAGAACAAAAACAACAGCAAUAUGCUGCUAACGGCAAAAUAGCCAAGAAUAGCCAGAGUGAUGGUUAUAGCUGAGUGAAUGCCGACCCCAGCCCAACAAACAGAUGAGCACUCAGGCUGGAGCCAGUGUUCGUGUUUCUUCAGUAGAAUCACUGUAGUGAUUGCUUUGAAGUCUCUGUGCUGGUUUUGAACUUUGUGCUGUCGGCUUUUUGUUCAUACGUAAAUACUAAGAGAAAAUCAUAUGUUUGUACUCAUUAGGACAGGGAUUUGUGUUGGUGUGUGGAGCUGUAGCCCCAGGUUUAUAUUUUUGAAUGGUGAUUGUGAGACAGUGUGUUUCAGAUCAUUUUACAGAAGGAUGCAAAAGUAAUGUAAAAAGUAGUAAUUAAGUACAUUACUUAAUUACUCAAGUUACAUACUGCAUUACUUUUAAGAAAAGUAGUCUGUAAUUUGUGUAAUAUGUUACUUCCUGAGUAGUUAAUCCAACACUGAUCACAACAAAGAGGGGAUCACAAGCGCAUGGCACAACAUAGAAGAGCCACCUCCACAGGACAAGACUCAGCAGUCCAUCUGCAUCUAAAGGACAAAGGACACUCUUUCGAGGAUGCCAAUGUUCACAUUUUGGACAGAGAGGACAGAUGGUUUAAAAGAGGAGUGAAAGAGGCCAUCUAUGUCCACUGUGAGCGACCAUCUUUGAACAGAGGCGGUGGUUUACGACACCAACUGUCUGCCAUCUAUAAUCCAGUUUUGAGUUCCCUCCCCAGACGCCUUAACGCCCACUCACAUCCUGGGCCAUCUGACCUCAGGAAUUCACAUGACAAGGUGGGGCCAGGUUUCACAAUGAGCUCACCCGAAACCCUGGCUGAUUAGGUCCCACACCCGCUUUCACACCUUGGCUCAUGUGAUUAGAGGAUCACCAGGGGGUCCUUUGUCCCUCUUUUGGGGGGGAUACUCCCACUGGGUUUAAAUCUGGGACUCUCGGCCAUUUGACCUUUAGAACUGAAGAAGCUUCUCGGAUGAGAGGUGAAACGUCUUCAAGCAACUUAAAGAAGUCCAGACGCUUUUCUUUGCAAACUCCUUUGACUACGAUGACCUGGAUGACUGAGAACCUUCACAGACAACAAAGAGGGGAAAUAGCUUCAGCAUUCACUAACAUUUGACCCACAGCAUAGAGUUCAUUUGCAUGCACGUAAUGUCUUUGAUAUGCUGCUUAGCGAUGGCAGCGACUCUCAAAGCGGGGCCAGUGGAAACCCAGUGAGAAUCAAUAAGUGAUAUGGAAUUGCUGAAUUCUUAUUAAUUCCCAUCGCUACUUAUCAUUUUCAACUUGAAGACUCAGGUUACAUUAUUAGGGGCGUGGCAACUUCCCUAGCACUUUUUUUUAUAAGGAGCCACAAAUAAAAAAAUAAACAAAUAAUUCAGCGCUUCAUCCUCUCUUUCCAAAUAUGAUCACUCACCAGCUGACACUGCUUUUAAAUGUAGGGUCACAUUAAACAGUGGCUACCUCCAUCUUUUCAAUACAGUCUGUGGAUCAUAGGUGGUUUAAUGACUACAUGUAAAUCAAUUAGUAAACUGUGUGUGUGUGUGGAGGAAGUCGAUUGGGUGAAGGUGGAGUUUCUGGGGUGGGCGGUGCAGCUCGGCAGCACGCUAAAGAUCAAACUGGCUCCGGUCUGUGCGUCAGUGUCUUUCAUGUGUCUCGCAGAGACGUGGGUAAAAAGGACAAUUAUUACUGAGGCUCGAGCCCUUCUUUCGUUAAUUCAUAUUUCUCUGAGACUCUUCGAGGACCUUUUUCCCCUUUGAGGUGUUCCUGUGUUUCCACGCCGCGGCUCAGUGACCUGAAGGAGGCUUGAUGAGUGGAAGCAGCGACGAAUUUCAUGUGCAUCUCAAACCCCACACACAUGGAUGUCAGGAGGAAAAGGUCCAAUGAUGCUGCCCACGUCGGUCUAC